UAGAGCAUAUGAAUCUUAAGUUUUGGAAAGUGUUUCCUGAGACUCUCCAGUCAUUGAGGAAGAGAAAACUGAUGGGAAGAUGCAAUGAAACUGGGGUGUGGGGAAACUGAGUAACAGUAGAUGUGACUGGAAGUAUAGACACCUGGGUCAGUCACUAGGCAUGAGCCCUUGAGCAAUUUAUAUAAGCCACUCAAAGCCUUAGUUUUCUUACCUACAAAAUGGACUUAGUACCUGCACCAUAGGUUUGAGUUGCAGUUAAAUGAAAUAAUACAUUUUCUGGCAACAAGCUCAGUGCCCAGCAUAUCCAUGGUGCUCAAUAGGUGUUGUCCAAAUAAGGGCGUCUUUGUGAAGUGGUUUGAAAUUUCCUGCUAUGUUUAGGUACAGGGGAAGAGCCCUUUACAUGGAAGGACGGAAAAAGACAGGUGUGAGUUGCUGCUAAGGACUCAUUAUAUUUGCAUCAAGAAGAAGGCAGAGAUGUAGGAACAACAAUGGACCUUCUUAGAGCUACUUAGAGCUACAACAGUAGACCUACUUAGAGCUACCACUUCUUAGGCAGUUGUGCAGGAAAACGGGCAACAUUGAGAUAUCUGUAUUUGUCUUUUUUUUUAAAAAAAUGUUGCUUCUCUAAUUGUUCAACUACAGAAAUGUGACUAUCUAUGAACUGAGAGUUGGGAGCUUGAAUCUAAGAGUCAACUAUGGGCCUUGGUUUCCUCACCAGGGGUUGACAUUUCUCAGUGGGGCCACGCGAUUCUUCACUGCAUGGGACAGAUCCAGGACUGCAAAACAACAGCACCUCAGUCAUUGUCACAACCAGCGUGUCGCCCCAUUCCACAUGCCCCUUGGGGGCAAGGAAGACAGUAAUCAACUGAACCUCAAAAUCUCUAAAACUCCAUCAUGGGAGACGUGGGACUUCUCCUUCUGGUCCACUCAUUUUGAUGAAAGAAUUUCAAGAAAGGCCUUUCCCUUGCAAUGGGAACAUCUUGGCUUCCUGCUGCCUUUCCAGGAUCAGGUCACCACUUCAGGUCUCAUCUACAGGAGUGACAUGUUAGGAGGAAAUAUUCCCUGGGCAGCUUUUGGAUGACUUUUUAAUCACUUGUGCCUCUACACCUUGAAAGAUGGAAAAAUGAGGAAUUUCUUUUCAAGUGGGCUGUUUAUGUUCCUGCCAAAUUAUUAUGUUUCUGCUUCUAGCUUUCACUAAUGGUAGGUCUUGAUGUACAAUGUCCACGGACAGCCUGGGGCACGAGAAUGGCCUCUCUCGACUCUGACGGGGCUUCCCCAAGGCCCUCUGUGUCCUCUCUGGGACCCAGGCACAGGGCUCCCUUCACGCUUCUUUCCUUUGGGGGAAUGGUUAGGUAUGAAAUUUAAUCAUUUUGGGCUGCUAGCCUAAGGUUGUUAAGCAGCACAUGUUGAUCAUAGGAGUAAUUACUAAGGGCUGCAUACCCCAGAAUGAUUUAUAACCUGCGAUCUAAAGCAAAAAAAAAAAAAAAAAAAUUCUCACUUGUCAGAUCUCUUUCUUCCCUCGCCCUGCUCCAAAUGUGCUGAUGAUAAUUAAUCCACUUCUGAGCACCUCAUCUGCCAUGAGGUGUCUCCUCCUGCCCCUGCUGGAAGAUACCUCUAUAGAUCUACACAUAGAGUGGGCUCCAUGUACUAAAUCCACACAAAGGGCCAUCCCGCCCUUCUCAGCUCACAUUUUAUAACGCUCAGUCU
rnacentral:lncRNA from 10 species